GACAAGCAAUCAAACCACCACCUCAGAGUUCAGCCACAUUAGAGACGGAUAUAGAAAGACUAUUUCUGGAAGCUGCAGGCUGAGUCACCAGGAGAGUAGAUCAUUUUUCUGUCUUUGAUUUUCUUUUUCCUUCUGUAAGUCACCUGUGGACAGCUGAGGAUGAAGACGGUCCUCAGCUCUGAGGAGGAAGAGUCCACGCUAUACACCUCAUGUUGCUAAACAUCGUCCUGUUCUGUUUGGGCCUCUCUCAUGACCACGGAUGCUUUUUGGGUUAUCAACAGCAGAGAUGUUGUAAAAAUGCCAGUUUCUGUGUAUCCAACACUGAGUUAAGCCCCGCCCACCCUGUGACGACUGUGACUGCAGCCGACCCGGAACACACACCAACCCAGAACACACACCGACCCGGAACACACACCGGCCCGGAACACUGUAGUGGAAAUUCUCCUUUGUGAGGUAGAGAGUUGCUAAGUCUCCGAAGAAUCUCAGACUUCAGCGUAUGAAUCAAAUCUCGUUUAAUGCACGCAGCGUGGAGAGAAGGCAAAAAUGUUCUCUGCCAAACUCUAAGUUGUUACCCCUUAAGUACAGAAUCAGAGAGGGGGUUACCUUCAUUUACAGCAGUCAUAAAACAUUGUCUUGACAUAAUAUGGACUCUUUGAUGUCUGGGUGUGUCCUGUCUUACCAGGACAGUGACUCUUUGAUGUAACAAAUGGGACAGCCAGUGUCAUCUUAUCUAAAGCUUCUGUAUCUUCUCAUGUGGGGGAUGUGCUCCCACCUGUGGCUCUUGUGACACCUCAAACAAUGUGACAGUCUCCCUUCCUCCUCCUGUCCUCACCACUAACAGGAAGACUAUGUCAUUUCUCACAACACACACCGACCUGGAACACACACUGUCUCCUUUCAGAUGGAUACUGAACUCAGGUCUGUAGAGGAAACCUGAGAGAAAGAGGUUUUUAAAGUCUGUGUUCAGCUGUCAGUACACCUUCAAUCGUUUUACAGUGAUAAUAUAAAUACUGAUAACUGUUACAUGUUUAGUCUGUACAAAACUACAUUUCAAAAGACAAUAAUUCACAGUUUUCCAACAGGUUGUGAGGUCGGCUGGCUACUUCCUGGAUUAUCACUUGUUGCCUGGCAACAGUCUGACACACAUUCAUGACAGACACUGUUCACAGACUGAGUGCAGAAGACAAACAGUCUCUGUUGUGCCUGUAAUGAAUUAAGUCCAGCGUGACAGUGUCGGCUGUACUGGGAUCAGAGUCAGUGUGCUGAUGUGAUGUCAGACAGAUGGUCAGAUCCUAUCAGACAGGAAACAUCUGCUGCUGCUCCGUAUGACGACGAGCGCCUGAAGAGACGAAGCAGCUCAGAUCUGAUGUGAGUCAGAGAGACUCUGUCCAGCAGCAAGGCUUCAGGCUGGAUUAUAAUCUGUACAGUAAUCUGAGAACGACACAUUCACUUCUGUCACUUACUUUGGAUCUUCACACAUUCAUCUUCUGAAGUCCAGAAGCAUCUCAGAGUGAAUCUCAGAGCGAGCGAGCCAACCAGCCAGCGGCGGCAGAUUAAGACUCACAUGGGAGCAGAGUCACGGUCAGCUGCAGAGGGACGACGUGGGCGUCCAGACGAGAUCCAUGGUGACACUUCAAAGACAGCGAGCUGCAGAACUGGAACACUGAUUCAGCCUGGACCUCAGUCAGAACCACUGAGUACAACUACUUCAUAUUCAAAGUUCUCUGAUCUUGUUUUCUUCCUCUCAUGUGCUGUGAAGCAGUUUGCAUGGACUGUAUUGUAUCAAUGAAGCUGAGUAACUGUAGCGCCACCAUGAGGUUUAUUUGACCCGAGCAGUGUGUCUCUGAGCACACCGAGCCCACCAGCCAGCCCGUGACUCACUGAUACAACUGGACCUGUAAUCAGAGCGAGCUGCAGGACCAACACACACCAACAGGUUUGUGACAUCAUUAAUACACAUGAAGUCUGUUCCCACGCUGGAGACAACACCAGGCCGCUGGUCUUAUAAAGCACAAGUCACCGUGAUUAUCUACAAAUAAAAGCCUGAAUGUUUUAUAAGCUGUCAUUUAAAGCUGAAGUGUUCAGUGCAGUGAAGUGUCGGCAUGAGCUGACUGCAGACUGGACCACAGCAGACGGGCUGUGUGGACACAUUUAAACCAGGUGGUUCUGAGUAACCACAGCAUAAACACAGCGCUGUAAAGAGACACACAAACAUAAAGAACCGUUCUGUCUGAACCCAUCUGUGGUCCGACAGAACCUUUAUCGUGGUGCUUCAGGCUGAACGUUGUGAGUCCUCCAGCGUUCAGAGGUUGUCCUGCAGAACGUGACGCGCCGUGUUCAUCCUGUCUUCCCAUCCUUCUUACCCUCUUUGUGACACAUGUGCAUUGAAGUUUUUAUCAUUUUAAUUUAUUCUAUUUGUGUCUUUAUCAUUUGUAUCUCUCUGUGACUCUGGAGCCGUGCUAACAAGUGAGUCUCCCCAGUGAGGGAUGAAUGAAGUGUGAUCUGUGCUGAGAUGCUUCCAGAGCAGAGCAGGUGGAGACGGAGGAACGAUGAGCUGAUGACGUCAUCACCCAGACAAAAACCAAGACUCUUGUGUUCUCUGCAUUUAUUGUUUUCUUCCUUUGUCGUACUCUGAGGAGCUUAAAUAUUUUACAGAGCGAGAACAUCAGUUUGGUUAUUUACAAGAUAUAAUAAAUGAAGUACAACUCACAAUGUCGGCUGAGGAGGAGGAGGAGGAAACAACUACAGUCAUGUUACCAUUCUUGUGAGGGAGUGACCUGCCCGAACUUGACAUUCAGAAACAAAACAAGAGUUUGAAGAAAGUGUGUGUGUGUGUGUGUGUGUGUGUGUGUGUGUGUGUACUCAGUGUGCUGAAGCAGCAGCGGUUGUAGAAGUGGAGCAGCGUGUCAGCAGAACCACAGACAGGAACAGGCUGGUCCAGUGUCUCCAGCUCUUAGUAACUUUCAACA